CUUACAUUGAACCAUUUUACUGUUCCCAAAACCUUCGUUGCUGGAGGAGAAAAAGAACCACGAUUACCAGGCACCCUUUUUUUUUUUUUUAAAAAACCGCCACGCUUCAGCAUCCGGUCCCUCGGGCGCUUCCCGGUGGCGGCCAGAGGCCACCUGACAGCCUUUCUCUUUAUCUGUAGAGCCUGCUCCGGAGCCGAGAUCCGAGGCCCUCGGCGCCUCCGCGGUCCACGUGGGCAUGUAUCACAUCUACAGGAUAUCUCAGAAUGGGGGACAGUGUUUCCUAAAUCUCAAUUAUUCCAAAUAGCACGUUCACAACUAUUACCAUAUCCACUAUCUACAGAUGCAAAUAUUAAAAGACAUUCAUUCCAGCACCACUGAAAGCGGCAUUACCCACAUUCCUCUGAUAAGCAUUUGAGAUGCUUGUUACAAACAGAAUCCUGGGUCCCACCUUAAACUAACUCAAUCAAACUCUCCUGAGGGAGGGACCUGGGAAUUAGUAGGUUUUUCAAAUGCCCCCAAGUGAUUCUUCUCUUUAGGGGAGUUUGGGAAACAAUGAAGUAAAGUAAGUUCUCCACUGCUUGCCACAAAUACCAGGUUUGGGGAUCACAGGGAGGUGAGCAGCAAUUCAGACUAGCAAGGUUGCCAGAGCCAACAGCCACUCCCUUUUCCAAGAGACUCUUAGGCUUUCAAAACAGAGGUUCCACCAGCCCUUAUGUGAUUGUAAGUAGCAAAGAACACAGUUCAGACUAUGACAGGAGAAUCGUGAGGGCCACAAUUCACCUAUGUAUCUAUGCAUCAGAUUGAUCAUAGAAAGCUUUCACAGGACCACAAGAUAAAACCAAGGUUUCUACAUGUAAAGCUGUACAGAAAACUUCACUUUAACUAAAAUCAAAGUCAGAAUCUAAGGCAAAAUACAAAAGAGCUCUAAAAGGAAGUGCUUCAGAAGCAACCAAUGAGUGCAUAAAUAAAUGGAACAACAAACUGAUGUUUCUCUCUUCUCUUUCUCUCUCUCUCUCUCUCUCUCUCUCUCUCUCUCUCUCUCUCUCUCUCUUUUUGUCUCAAUAAGUAAAAAAAAUAAAUUAAAAACUAUUCAAAUGUAUGGGCUGGCUUUAGCUCAGUGUUUCCUUUACAUACAAAUGUGAUAGAUG